rnacentral:rRNA from 1 species
UUCGCAAUGCCCGAAAGGGUGACGAAGCGACGCCGCGUGUGGGAAGAAGGCCUUCGGGUUGUAAACCACUGUCGGGAGUUAGGAAGUGUAGGGGUGUUAAUAGCGCCUCUACUUGACUAAGGCUCCGGAGGAAGCCACGGCUAACUCUGUGCCAGCAGCCGCGGUAAUACAGAGGCGGCAAGCGUUGUUCGGAAUUAUUGGGCGUAAAGAGCACGUAGGCGGCUAUGUAAGUCGGUUGUGAAAGCCUUCCGCUCAACGGGAGAACAGCAUCCGAUACUGCAUGGCUUGAGUGCGGGAGGGGAGAGUGGAACUUCUGGUGGAGCGGUGAAAUGCGUAGAUAUCAGAAGGAACGCCGGCGGCGAAAGCGGCUCUCUGGCCCAUAACUGACGCUGAGUGUGCGAAAGCUAGGGGAGCAAACGGGAUUAGAUACCCCGGUAGUCCUAGCCGUAAACGAUGGGCACUAAGUAGAG